rnacentral:rRNA from 1 species
UCCAGACUCCUACGGGAGGCAGCAGUGAGGAAUAUUGGUCAAUGGCCGGAAGGCUGAACCAGCCAAGUCGCGUGAGGGAAUAAGGCCCUAUGGGUCGUAAACCUCUUUUGUCAGGGAGCGAAGGCGUCCACGUGUGGACGAGAGGAGAGUACCUGAAGAAAAAGCAUCGGCUAACUCCGUGCCAGCAGCCGCGGUAAUACGGAGGAUGCGAGCGUUAUCCGGAUUUAUUGGGUUUAAAGGGUGCGUAGGCGGGCAUUUAAGCCGGCGGUCAAAUGUCGGGGCUCAACCCCGGCCUGCCGUCGGAACUGGGUGCCUUGAGUGGGCGAGAAGUAUGCGGAAUGCGUGGUGUAGCGGUGAAAUGCAUAGAUAUCACGCAGAACCCCGAUUGCGAAGGCAGCAUACCGGCGCCCUACUGACGCUGAGGCACGAAAGUGCGGGUAUCGAACAGGAUUAGAUACCCCAGUACCA